GUCCAGGGGCGGGAAUCGAACCCACAACCUUCUGCUUGCCGAGCAGGUGCCAUGUCCACUAGGCUACCCUGGA
rnacentral:tRNA from 1 species